GAAAGUCUGAUGGAGCAAUACCACGUGAACGAUGAAGGUCUUCUGAUUGUAAAGUUCUUUUAUUUAGGAAAAAAAGCGCGCUAGGAAAUGAGCGCGCCUUGAUGGUACUAAUUGAAUAAGUGACAGCUAACUAUGUGCCAGCAGCUGCGGUAAAACAUAGGUCACGAGCAUUAUCCGGAUUUAUUGGGCGUAAAGGAAGCGUAGGUGGGGAGGUUGAUCCAUUGUUAAAGGCAUUUGCUUAACAAAUGUGUGCGAUGGAGAUCGCCUCCCUAGAGUUAAUCAGGGGGUACUGGAAUUCAAUGUGUAGCGGUGGAAUGCGUAGAUAUAUUGAGGAACACCAGAGGCUAAGGCGAGUGCCUAGGAUAUAACUGACACUGAGGCUUGAAAGCGUGGGGAGCAAAUGGGAUUAGAUACCCCAGUAGUCCACGCCGUAAACGAUGGGCAUUAGGUAUUUGACAUCUAGUCGAGUGCUGUAGCUAACGCGUUAAAUGCCCCGCCUGGGUAGUAUAUAUGCAAAUAUGAAACUCAAAGAAAUUGACGGGGACCUGAACAAGUGGUGGAGCAUGUUGCUUAAUCGAUAAACAC
rnacentral:rRNA from 1 species